UCCCACCCAGCUGAGCUUUUAUUUACAAAU
rnacentral:piRNA from 1 species